GUGUGAGGGGCGUGUGCACCUGAGACUGGAUGGGAGGGGGGGCAGCGCGUGAGUUUGGAAGAGGGGAGUAUAGUGAGAUGGAGGAAUGAGAACUUGACACCCCCCAGCAUUUCAGCCUUUGCGCCUCCAGUGAGCGCGUUACUACUGUGAGAUUGGGAUAACCCUGCGCCUAUGGACAUGUACUCCGCUCACUGACAUGUCUGCCUCCGCUCUCUGCCUCCUGAGGACCUUAACCCUGCCCGGCAGCAGCAGCGGGACAUGGGAGAUACGUGCCAAAUAAGGAGCUAAUGCUGCGCUUUCUCUCUGGGACACCCUGACCAAUUGCAACUGGAUUUCCUUCCCCCUUUUAUCCUUCAUUUUAUUCCCGUCUCGUACUCGGGGAGCCUGUGAAUACUGUGUUUGCCUUCUGCCAUGGAACUAAAUGUGCUGCUUCUGCUCCUGUGCUCAGUGGGGGGCCAAGUUGGAGCUGUGGAAGAGACCCUUAUGGACACUCGAACGGCCACUGCUGAACUGGGAUGGACGGCCAAUCCUUCUUCUGGGUGGGAAGAGGUGAGUGGCUAUGAUGAAAACCUCAACACAAUCCGUACAUACCAAGUGUGCAAUGUCUUCGGUCCAAGCCAAAACAACUGGCUCCUCACUACCUUCAUCCCAAGGCGUGGGGCCCAUCGUGUCUAUGUGGAGAUGCGUUUUACUGUUCGGGACUGUAGCAGCCUCCCAAAUGUCCCAGGUUCUUGUAAAGAAACAUUUAAUUUGUACUACUAUGAGACAGACUCAAAUAUUGACAACAAGAUAUCUACAUUUUGGAACGAGUCUCCCUACUUAAAGGUGGACACUAUCGCUGCUGAUGAGAGUUUCUCACAAGUGGACUUUGGUGGGAGACUGAUGAAAGUCAACACAGAAGUUCGUAGUUUUGGCCCUCUAACCCGCAGUGGCUUUUACUUGGCAUUUCAGGAUUAUGGAGCAUGUAUGUCACUCCUCUCAGUUAGGGUCUUCUUCAAGAAAUGUCCCAGCGUGGUUCAGAAUUUUGCAGUCUUCCCUGAAACCAUGACUGGGGCAGAGAGUACCUCUUUAGUUAUAGCCCGGGGAACUUGCAUACCUAAUGCUGAGGAGGUUGAUGUUCCUAUCAAACUGUACUGCAAUGGGGAUGGGGAAUGGAUGGUUCCUAUUGGCAAAUGCACCUGCAAGGCUGGAUAUGAGCCUGAAAAUCAUAUUGUCUGCAAAGCCUGCCCAGCUGCCAUGUUUAAAGCAAAUCAAGGCAUGGGAAUAUGUGCACCGUGCCCCGCUAACAGUCGUUCCACUUCUGAGGCUUCUCCCAUCUGCAUCUGCCGCAAUGGGUACUACCGAGCUGACUUUGAUACACCGGAGGCCCCAUGCACCAGUGUUCCCUCUGGUCCGCGCAAUGUGAUCUCCAUAGUCAAUGAGACAGCCAUCACUUUAGAGUGGCACCCUCCACGGGAAACAGGAGGAAGAGAUGAUGUCAUCUACAACAUUAUCUGCAAGAAGUGCCAGUCUGAUCGGCGCGGCUGUUCUCGCUGUGAUGACAACGUUGACUUUGUUCCACGGCAGAUGGGUUUGACUGAUACCCGAGUCUUUAUCAGCAAUUUGUGGGCUCACACUCCCUACACCUUUGAAAUCCAUUCAGUUAAUGGAGUGACAAACAAAAGCCCUUUUCCACCCCAGCAUGUAUCUGUUAAUAUCACUACCAACCAAGCAGCUCCUUCUUCUGUUCCCAUAAUGCACCAAGUCAAAGCCACCAUGAAGAGCAUCACAUUAUCCUGGCCUCAGCCAGAACAACCCAAUGGGAUCAUCCUGGAUUAUGAGAUCCGAUACUAUGAAAAGGAUCAUCAUGAAUUUAACUCUUCUCUAGCCAGAAGCCAAACCAACACAGCUAGUAUAGAAGGCCUGAGGCCGGGAAUGGUGUAUGUGGUGCAGGUCCGAGCGCGCACAGUCGCUGGCUAUGGAAAAUUUAGUAGCAAAAUGUGCUUCCAGACCCUGACGGCGGAGGAUUACAAGUCAGAGCUGAGGGAACAGCUUCCUCUCAUCGCAGGCUCAGCUGCAGCAGGAGUGGUCUUCAUUGUGUCCCUGGUGGCCAUCUCCAUAGUAUGCAGCAGGAAAAGAACUUACAGCAAGGAAGCCGUUUACAGUGACAAACUGCAACAUUACAGCACUGGCAGAGGCUCCCCAGGAAUGAAAAUUUAUAUUGAUCCCUUCACUUAUGAGGACCCCAAUGAAGCAGUAAGAGAGUUUGCCAAGGAGAUCGAUGUCUCAUUUGUGAAGAUCGAGGAAGUGAUUGGAGCCGGAGAAUUCGGAGAAGUCUACAAAGGGCGCCUGAAACUCCCUAGCAAGAGGGAAAUCUAUGUGGCUAUCAAAACCCUCAAGGCCGGGUACUCCGAAAAGCAGAGGAGAGACUUCCUGAGUGAGGCGAGCAUCAUGGGCCAGUUUGAUCACCCCAAUAUCAUUCGCCUGGAAGGUGUGGUGACCAAAAGCAGGCCUGUUAUGAUCAUCACAGAGUUCAUGGAGAAUGGAGCCCUGGAUUCUUUUCUACGGCAAAACGAUGGGCAGUUUACAGUGAUUCAGCUGGUGGGAAUGCUUCGAGGCAUUGCAGCUGGCAUGAAGUACCUUUCUGAAAUGAACUAUGUGCACCGAGACCUGGCGGCAAGAAAUAUCUUGGUGAAUAGCAACUUGGUCUGUAAAGUGUCAGAUUUUGGCUUAUCCCGGUAUCUGCAGGAUGACACUUCAGAUCCUACAUACACCAGUUCCCUGGGUGGUAAAAUCCCAGUCAGAUGGACAGCUCCAGAAGCCAUUGCAUACCGCAAAUUCACUUCAGCUAGCGAUGUAUGGAGUUAUGGUAUCGUCAUGUGGGAAGUGAUGUCGUAUGGGGAACGGCCAUAUUGGGACAUGUCCAACCAGGAUGUCAUAAAUGCCAUCGAGCAGGAUUAUCGCCUUCCUCCACCCAUGGACUGUCCAGCUGCCCUUCACCAACUUAUGUUGGACUGCUGGCAGAAAGAUCGCAACAGCCGUCCACGCUUUGGAGAGAUUGUCAACACCUUAGACAAGAUGAUCCGGAACCCUGCCAGUCUGAAGACAGUGGCUACUAUCCCCGCUGUGCCUUCCCAGCCACUGCUCGACCGCUCCAUCCCAGACAUUUCAGCCUUUACCUCAGUAGAUGACUGGCUGAGUGCUAUCAAGAUGGGACAAUACAGAGACAACUUCUUGAGCUCCGGUUUCACCUCCCUGCAGCUUGUUGCUCAGAUGACCUCAGAGGAUCUCCUCAGGAUAGGGAUAACGUUAGCGGGGCACCAGAAAAAAAUCCUGAACUCUAUUCAAUCCAUGAGGGUCCAAAUAAGCCAGUCUCCCACCUCUAUAGCAUGAGACUUUGGGGACAUUGAGGGUCGGGGAGUACGCAAGGGUGGUUAGGGGAAAUGUAGAGGUCAAAAGGAGGAAUGGAUUAUGCAGUGGGGAAACAGAACUUUGCAAUUCAGGUGACAACAUUUUAUCAAGCAUGGAACUCCCAUCAAAAGCAUAAGGCCCUUGCAGUGAGGGUCUCUCGCAGCACCAGGAAGUUGCAUUGUUUCAGUUGCUACACUAUGUUUGUGGUGUCAUCAGAAGAAAAUCACUUUUUCGGAAAAAGUUGUGGGAAAUUACUGGAAAAAUCUAAGCAUUAUAGUUGGAGACACUGUCUGGAAAUAAAGGUGCUUACUUUUACCAUACUACCAAUUGCAAAGGGAUUAUGGACCUCAUGCUCCAUCAGCUUCAUCUGUUGCGUGGAUGCCCUGUGUCCCCUCAUUUCCGACACAACUGCUGCUUCAGGGAAAGAGGCCGUCUGCACACUUCCAUCUACUCUUUUAUUUGUUUUGUCUUCAUAUUGAAGAUGAAGUUGUAUGGAAGAACCAACAUUUUUUUUUUCUUCUUCUUUUGCUUGCAUUUUUUGGCAAAAAAAGGAAAAUGUAUGAAAAAAACAUUUAAAAAAAAAGAUCAGGAAGAAAACCUGAUGAUGUGUCUACCUUUAUGUCCUAUAUGUUAAAAAUAAAAAAAAUGAGCUGCAAAUUCAGUGUUUGUAUAUAAAGGGAAAGGCAUUGGUACCUCUAACGGAUCAGAGAUGACCCUGUUGUGUUUUCUUCCUUAUGGAGCUAUACUGGAUCAUUAACUUUGUCUUGGAAACUCAAUUACGAAAAAAGGUGGCGCUAGGGAUAAGAGGGACAACUGCUAUUGCUGGUACAUGUGGAUUAUGGAGCGUACUAUAUGGCAUAGACAUCACUGGGCUUGUUUGGGUUCCUUUAUGGUCAUCUUCAUGAAAUUUAGUACUGAAUUUGGCAGCACCUUCUUUUGGAUUAAAAGAGUUUGGCCCAGUGACUGAUCAUUGCCAAUGGAAAUCACCCACUGAAGAGUUAACCUGUCCAUGGAAAAGUUGAAUUAACAGUCCCCUUCCUAUUGCCUCUCUACCCUCGACCCUCUUCUGCUUCCAUGACAACCACAUAGCUGUAUAUUUCUGUAAGUUCCUGCAUUGUACAAUUCCCCCUUUCUCUGAUUUGUCACGUGUUCAAAAUGUUGAAGUUUGUAACAGUAAUUUCAAAGAAGAGAAUACAAAAAUAUUGUACUAAAAAAAUUUUAAAAACUAAAUUGCACUCAAUAAAAAAUUAAUCAAA